rnacentral:rRNA from 1 species
UACGUAGGUCCCGAGCGUUGUCCGGAUUUAUUGGGCGUAAAGCGAGCGCAGGUGAUUUAUUAAGUCUGGUGUAAAAGGCAGUGGCUCAACCAUUGUAUGCAUUGGAAACUGGUAGACUUGAGUGCAGGAGAGGAGAGUGGAAUUCCAUGUGUAGCGGUGAAAUGCGUAGAUAUAUGGAGGAACACCGGUGGCGAAAGCGACUCUCUGGCCUGUAACUGACACUGAGGCUCGAAAGCGUGGGGAGCAAACAGG